rnacentral:lncRNA from 10 species
GUAGGAUACAAAAAGUUUUUUUUCUUUCUCUCUCUCCUACUCUCUGUCCUGUUGCUUUCUGCCUGCCUCUAUCCCAGCUCACCCACUCCCUCCCUCCAUUUAUUUUGACAAAUACUAACACACACUUUAGACAAAUAUCUUCUAAGACAAAUUCUGCCUUUCUAAAUAGAAUGGUAAUCAACACUGACACACUUAGAUUGAGUCUUAAAAUUUACUUUAAGGACCUUAAGAACAACAGUAGUAACACGAAGUUAGAACUGAUGAUAAAUGGGACCAUAUUUCAUCAGCUAAAAAUCCAAAAAAAAUCACUUUAAAAUAUCAUUGUGGCAAAGGAUUUAAUGAAAAUAUUACAUUUAGUAAUAAAAACUGCUAUAAUUACCACAUGUAUUGAAUAGAGAUGAAGUAAAUGAAUUCCUCUGGGUUCCUUGACAGUCAUCUCGAGGGGAUAAUAGAUUAUUGCUUACUUUUGCGAAUUAUGCAGUAAAAUCUCCAAGGAGACAUUCAUUUAGUGUUGCUUUACCCAGUGUGAUUAAUACAAUCAUUCCACAGCUAGAUCCAAGAGACAGGAUAAAUCAUAUAUAUUUCUUAUUGUUUCAGAUUACUUUAAAUAGAAAUGUAAGAAAAAUCCUGUUUCCCGUUAUUAAUGUACUCAAACUUAUUUUUAUUGUCAGCUUUUGUGUUAAUUUAGAAAGGUCAUCAAAAUCAUCACUCAAGCUAAAUGGGCUGCAAUGAGGGAGCAUUCUUUUGAGACAAGGCUUUUCUUGUGCUCAUGCAACCUCUCUCCUGUUUAAAGUAUUUUGCAUAAAUGUCGUCUCUGAUCUCCAGCACUGGUAUAAGCACUUGAUAGUAUCUUAUUAAAAAUCAACAAAUCCGAGCACUUACUUGGUCAAAUCAUUGUUCUAUACAUUGUGUGAAUGACAGAGCAGAAGAUGACAUGAUUAUUGUGUCUCUCCAAAGGCUUAUGUCACAGGAGACACCCUGUAAGUGGCAUAAAACACUUCAAUCACACGUAGCUUUCUGGAGCAACAGACCAUGGGCUGAGGAUUGAGUUUCCGGGAGCCACAGCAAGGCUCUCCAAUGCCAUCUUUCUGUCUCACUGCUGAAAGUCAAGAAUCACAGUGCUGAUCUUCAGAAACUGUGGGUUCAGAAACUCACCUGGUCACUAGAAUUACUCUCCCCACUUUACCUCUGCUACCCCGGAGAUCCCCGAGACCAGUCCCUUUUGGGGAGCCCUUGAUGGCAUCUUCACUAGUAGCCCUUUGGCUCACAUGGGAAUACCCCCAGGGACUCCUCGCAAGAGGGCUAUGAGGGAGGCUUCAUUAUUCUAGUGUUGAAGCCCAGAGUCUCAACCUAAUCAGCGCUUUCCUUCAAGUUCGAGCCUCCAGGAGGAGCCAAGGAGUUUCAACAGCGUUUCAAAGUUCGCAGUUUGUAUUCUGCUGCACCAGAGACAUCAUUGAAUCUUACAGCUGAUGCUACCUUCUUUCCCACACCUGGAUUCACCCAAAGUCCUGGAGAACAGCACAUGGUGGAGAGAAACCCCUAGCCAAUUUUCCCUUCUGAAAGAUAAGAGCAAGACACCUGGGUGAACUGGUGGCUGAGGGACCUCCGCUCCUGGAUACAUGUCCGUAAUCAUUCAUGGAGUGAGAAAAUCGGCCUGUAUGUUACCACUAAAGAAGCUAGUCUGUAAGAAUGUAUUGAUUUAAGUAUAUAUAAAAAUACAUAGAGUAAAUUAUAACUCCCCUAGGCACAAUUUCAUUAUAUACCUUAAAAAAUACAUAGAUGCCACUCACUUCACUGCUAACAAAAAUGACAAUAUCAUUUAUCAUUCCAACCAUGGUACUUUUUUUUUUUUUUUUUUGAGUCAGAGUCUUGCUCUGUUGCCCAGGCUGGAGUGCAGUGGUGCAAUCUUGGCUAACUGCAAUCUCCGCCUCCCGGGUUCAAGCGAUUCUCCUGCCUCAGCCUCCCGAGUAGCUGGGACUACAGGCGUGUGCCACCACGCCCAGAUAAUAAUUUUUUGAAUUUUUAGUAGAGAUGAGGUUUCGCCGUGUUAGCCAGGAUGGUCUCAAUCUCCUGACCUCGUGAUCCGCCUGCCUCGGCCUCCCAAAGUGCUGGGAUUACAGGCAUGAGCCACCACACCCGGCCCCAUGGUAUUUUGACUACAAAAUGAGACACAAUACAUGAAAAAGUGGUCUACUGUGGAUCACUACUCUCAAUGAAAAGAAACAAACUAUUGAUACAUUUGACAAACCAAGACUUUCUCCCCAAAACUGGGCUGUGUGGUCCCCUAACUCUACCUGAUAGGGAAAAGAAAAGUGAGUUGGGAAUGAGGAAAGUAUUUUUUUGGAGGGAGGUUUGUUUUAGGUUGGUUUUUGUUGUUGUUAUGAUUUGACUGUGAUUCCUCCAUAGAGUAAAACACAGUCAGUUCUUGUUGUUUGUGGUUAUUAUGUUCUUUAAAGAACAUAAUUGCUGUGAGCACUGAAUUAGCAAAUACUGAACUGUUGCUCCCACGGGAAAUACAGAGGACGUUCCUUCGAGCCUGUGGUCACACAUUGUCAUAAAACAAUCGAUACACGACCUUGUUUUAUGUGUGUUUCUGUUAAAGGACACCUUGUUUAACAUACAGCAUUGAUUUAUUAACAUUGAAUUCAUGACCAACAGUACUAUAACUAACGCUUGAACAAGGCUUAUCAACACAUCUCUUUUCUUCAUACGGUACAUCAAAGACUUCUUGCACUUAGGAAUACUAGAUGGCACUAUAUCACUGUAGUGAAAUCAGCAGCAAAAAGCACAACAUGAGAAAAAUGUGGCACUAAAUAGAACACACACCAAAAGGACAGUUGUGUACAAUAUGAGAUAUAAAACAGGAGCAAGGCAGAAUGUCGCCUUGUUGAACCUCAUCUGGGAACAUGAACUUUGGGUGACAAUUUUUUCGCUGCUCUCCACAUGUCUGUGAAGGGACAUGAAAUAGCUGUGGCUAUUGAUUUGAGAGUUACAGGUAAUUUUAGGGAGUAGGCAGGUCUGUAAAUAUGAAAUCCAUGAGUAAUGAUGACUGACUGUAGAUUCUUGUCCCUAACUCUUAGGUGUACCUUUAUUUAAAGUUAGGCUCACCAAGUAGAUUUCAAGAGGUCUCUAAGAGUGGAUCUAAAAUGGAGAACAAAUGACCUCAGGAGAUGUAGAUAAAAUAUGUCUCUUCAAACUGGUUUUGCACCAGUAAUGAGACAGUGACGCAAGUCCUCUGUAUCCUCGCUGUGCUUGUUUUUGUCCCUAUUUUCAUCAUUCUGCUAGACGUGCAGUAAUACUUUUCUGUGGUUUUAAUUUGCAUUUCUCUAAUAGUACAGUUUGGCAGUUUUUUAAACAGUUAAAUAUUCAACUGCAUUUAUAUAUGACCCAGCAAUUGUACUCUUUGGCAUUUAUUCCAGGGAAAUGAGAACAAACUUGAACAUUGUGGCACAUCUAUUUAUAAUAACCAAGAACUGGAAAUAAUCAGAUAUCUCUCCAUGGAAAAAUGGUUAUUAAACAAAACAUAGUACAACUUACUAUGGAUCACUACUCCCAAUAAAAAGGAACAAACUGUUGAUGCAUUCAGCAACCUUAAUGAAUCACCAAAGAACUAUCCUAAGUGAAAAUAAAGCCAGUUUCCCAAGAUUAUAUAUGGUAGGAUUCCCUUUAUAUAACAUCCUUGAAAUGAGAAAAUGAUAGAAAUGGAGAAUAGACUAGUGGUUGCCAGGGGGUUAAGGUGGGAAUCCAUGCAGGAAGGAAGUGGCUAUAACGAUAAAAGAGAAACAUGAGGAAUCCUUGCUGUGAUGAAAAUGCUCUGAAUCUUGACUGUAUCUAUGUCAGUAUCUUGGUUAUAAUAUUGUCUUAUGCUUUUGCAAGAUGUUACCAUUGGGGAAUACUAGGCAUAAGCACAUGAGAUCCCUCUCUCGUAGUUCUUACAACUCCGUGUGAAUCUAUGAUUACCUCAGUAUAAAAAGCUUAUUUAUAAAUAAAUGAAGGAAAAAUAAAGACUUUCUCAAACCAGCCAAACUACACACCACACACACACACACACACACACACACACACACACACACACACAGAGUUUUAUUCUUUCCAAGUUUGAACUGAUUCUUAUUCCUUCUUCAGUCAUUCAACAAGCUGUUACCCUUUAAAGAGGCUAAGGAGAGAUUAAUUAGAUAUUAGUUCGUAAGAUACAUUUUUCAAAUUUCUUAAAAUAUAUGUACAUGUACAAUUUAGUGAAAGCAAAAAAAACUUUGAUAGUAAUAAUAUUGAAGAUCCAAAUCUGUAUUAAGUCAAAUAUUUAGUGAUAUAAUUUUCAUUUCAAAAUGGUUUUUACAUAAAGUAAAACUGUGUACAAUAAAGUAAAUAAUUUUAAUGCAAUUUAUUCUUUUUUUGGAUGAGGAAACUGAGGCUCCCUUCUUAUGUGGAAAAAUGGUUGGCAUUGCCAUUAGUGCAGAGUUGAUUGGGGCUAAAUUGAUGCACUCUUUGGACCAUAAAGUCAAGAGCAGAUAUGUAAAACCACGAUGUGUCAUUAUGGAUGAUCCAGUUUCUUUUUAAAUCAGAAUCUCUGGGGCAUGAACAAAGUCUUUAUAUAAGGUACUAUUCUGUCUUAUGGGCUCUCUCUAUAUGAUUUUUCUAUAUAUGCAGAUAUAUAAGGAAAGGGCUGACAAUAAUCAUGUAGGAUACAUAAAAUAUUAUUUUCUUUCUGAAAGGAAAGGGAAUGGGCCUCCUCUGGUUAAAAUUUAUAUUAGAUUUCGUAGACUGCUAGGGCUGCCAUCACAAAGUACCACAGACAGGGACACUUAAAGAAAAGAAAUAUAUUGUCUCACGGUUCUGGAGGCUACAAGUCAAAGAUCAAGGAGUCAGUGGGAUUGGUUGCUUCUGAGGCUGUGAGGGGCAAUCUGUUUCAUGCCUCUCUCCUAACUCUGGUUAUUUGCCGGCCAUUUUUGGUGUCCCUUGGCUUAUAGAAUCAUUGCUCCAAUCCCUGACUUACCUUCACGUGUUGUUCUUCCUGUGUGAGUCUGUCUUUGUGUUCAAAUUGCUUCCUUUAAUAAGGACACCAGUCAUACUGGAUUAGGGUCCCACCCUCAUCCGUGAAGUAUGACCUCAUACUAACUAAUUACAUCUUCAAUGACCCUAUUUCCAAAUAUGACCACAGACUGAGGCACUGCAGGUUAAGGCUUCAACAUAAGAAUUUUGGGGGACACAAUUCAACUCAUAACAGAUUUUCUCUCUCAUUCUUACCCCAUGGAUAGGAUAUAACAGACAAAGCCCUCUUUAGGUUAUCAAAUAAAUUGUGCCCAAGAUGCAAUGGGCGAAAAGUGUCCUAAGCAACAUAAAGAUAAGCAGCCAUUGUAAUAGAUAUAUUUUUGGCCUUAUUUUAUCUAAAUCAAAAGAUUAAAAGUAAAACUCUGAAUGCACUAUAUUUGCAAAAUGUUUACAAUUAGCCCCAUAAUUUUCUUUUGCAUUAAUAUUAGAAGAAAACUAAACAUUUUCUAAAACUUAUUACUUUCUGAAUGUUUUGAACGUGCUGAUGUAAAUUUUUCAACUCUAAGUGUAGGUGAC